AGACAGGUGGUGCAUGGUUGUCGUCAGCUCGUGUCGUGAGAUGUUGGUUAAGUCCCGCAACGAGCGCAACCCCUUUCUCCAGUUACCAUCAUUCAGUUGGGGACUCUGGAGAGACCGCUGCAGUACAAUGCAGAGGAAGGUGGGGACGACGUCAAGUCAUCAUGGUCCUUAUGUCCAGGGCUACACACGUGCUACAAUGGUAGUUACAGAGGGGAGCGAAGCUGUAAGGUGGAGCGAAUCUCAGAAAAGCUGCCACAGUUCCGGAUUGAGGUCUGCAACUCGCCUGCAUGAAGCCGGAAUCGCUAGUAAUCGCGGAUCAGCAUGCCGCGGUGAAUACGUUCCCGGGCCUU
rnacentral:rRNA from 1 species